rnacentral:rRNA from 1 species
UACAUGGGGUGCAAACGUUGCUCGGAAUCAUUGGGCGUAAAGCGCGCGCAGGCGGUCUUUUAAGUCUGAUGUGAAAGCCCCCGGCUCAACCGGGGAGGGUCAUUGGAAACUGGGAGACUUGAGUGCAGAAGAGAAGAGUGGAAUUCCACGUGUAGCGGUGAAAUGCGUAGAGAUGUGGAGGAACACCAGUGGCGAAGGCGACUCUUUGGUCUGUAACUGACGCUGAGGCGCGAAAGCGUGGGGAGCAAACAGG